rnacentral:misc_RNA from 1 species
AGAGUCUAAUGAGGUGCAG